rnacentral:lncRNA from 1 species
AUGGGAGCAGGAAGAGAUGAGGGGUGGGACUCAUCCUCCCUCAUUUACACCACCCACAUGUUCAUUCUUCUCUUGCUCCCUUCACAGUCACAGGACAUAGCUGGGUGGAUGCAGAAGGCGAGUGGGGUGACGUGGGGUUUGCAUGGUCCUUUCCUGACAUGUGUACUCCUGACAGCCUCAGCGACAAGCCAGUGUGCCUUUAGGGUGCUGGAGGGACAGCUUGGCUUCGCAGCCAGAGCCAAAGUCCGGGGUGCAAUGGUGCGCCAAAGGGCAAGCUGCAGUGCAUUGCAGGAGGAGUUGGAUGGGGCGCAGGGUGCUCGGGCAGGUGACGCCUCUCGCCACGGGAGCUGGGAAGGUGUUCAGAAAGAGGAACAGCAUCUUGGUUCCGUCCACACCAGCCAGCGUGAGAACAUACAUCAAAAGAAGUUCCCGCAAACACUUGCAGAGCAGGAGAUGGCUUCACAGGUGUGUGGCUGGACGUCCCGCUCCCCCUUGUCUUAAUCAGGUCAUCCUGUGGGCAAUAGCAACGUCUGGAAACAGCCAAGGGAGGAGGAGAACUUGGAAAGAAAAACAGUACAACACCUGGGGGUUGUCUAGAAGCCAUAGGAGAAGGGUGUCAGACAGCUCCUCAGCACCACAACACACUUCCAGCUGAGGGAACUUAGCUGCUGGGAGGAAGAGGAGGUUUUCCAUGGAAAAUAUAACUAUAAUGCAAGGCCUAUGGAAAGCAAUAAGAAAUUGUCGCUUUUAACAUGGAAUAAGGCUCAUGACCACACAAGAGUAGCCAGGAGGCAACCAUGGAAAGUGGUCACAAAAGUGCUGGAGAAAGCACAUGUGGUCCGGCCAAGAACAGUUUAUAAAGAGCUGUUUAGUCCAGCCUGUAUAUGUGUGUAUAUAUAUAUUAUAUAUAUAUUAUACAUAUAUGUAUGUAUACAGGCUGAUAAUCUAUAUAUAUAUGCACCUACAAAUACAUAUUUUUAAUAGUUGUAGGUUUCUGUAAGUGCAGGUGCGUGCAUGCAAAAGGCGUGAGCUCAACAGCCCCGGCUGAAGCGCAGCUGUCUGUUUGCAUAUGUAUAAACGUGUGUAUAUACACACAGAAGGACACAGAAGGGGAUUUUGACCGCCACCUCCCCAGCUCAGCACUUCCUUGUCCUGCCUCUUGUCCUUCCUUGUCUUGUCUCCCUCCUCUGGAGGAGGAUGCUUGUGCUCCACUCCUGCUUGGCCCAGGGAUGCUUCUUCUCCCCUUCCAGGACAAAGAGUGGGAGCGUGCGGUCAGGCUGGGGUGCCCUCCACGAGCCAAGCAUUCAGAGAGAAAAAAAAGUGCCCCCUGCCCUCCUCCUUCUCUGCACGGCACUGCAAUGUUGGCUGGAGGAAGCGCUCAGCAUUCCUCCAAAUUGUCAGCCUCAGCCACGUAAUGGCACUCACUGCGUUGCCUGGUGCUGUGGGUUUAUGCCACGCACUGAUCCUGCCCCGCUCGGUUACCUUCUUGCCUAACCCAGCCUAACAAAAAGCUUUUCUCCUUUUAUUAAGCCCAUAAAAUCAACACAUGCAUGCAUGGGCAGCAGCAGGCAAAGGUAACAAGAGCAUUUGCAACGGGAGGGAAGAGAGAAGAGAGACAACGUCGCCAUGUGAUAAAAUUUUAUUACAAAAUAUUAGAUAGAUUAAAAGUUGUAGGGGAGUUUCGGAGUUGGGGGGCUGUGUAACAAACAAAAAACAUCACCGGAAAAAUAAACCUUCUACCCAAGUUUUCCA